rnacentral:rRNA from 1 species
UGGGGAAUUUUGGACAAUGGGGGCAACCCUGAUCCAGCCAUCCCGCGUGUGCGAUGAAGGCCUUCGGGUUGUAAAGCACUUUUGGCAGGGAAGAAACNGCCUGGGAUAAUACCCCGGGCGACUGACGGUACCUGCAGAAUAAGCACCGGCUAACUACGUGCCAGCAGCCGCGGUAAUACGUAGGGUGCAAGCGUUAAUCGGAAUUACUGGGCGUAAAGCGUGCGCAGGCGGUUCGGAAAGAAAGGUGUGAAAUCCCAGGGCUUAACCUUGGAACUGCACUUUUAACUACCGAGCUAAAGUACGUCAGAGGGGGGUAGAAUUCCACGUGUAGCAGUGAAAUGCGUAGAGAUGUGGAGGAAUACCGAUGGCGAAGGCAGCCCCCUGGGAUGAUACUGACGCUCAUGCACGAAAGCGUGGGGAGCAAACAGGAUUAGAUACCCUGGUAGUCCACGCCCUAAACGAUGUCAACUAGCUGUUGGGGUUUAUUAACCUUAGUAGCGCAGCUAACGCGUGAAGUUGACCGCCUGGGGGAGUACGGUCGC